UACGUAGGGGGCAAGCGUUGUCCGGAUUUAUUGGGCGUAAUGAGCGUGUAGGCGGCCAUGUAGGUCCGUUGUGAAAACUCGAGGCUCAACCUCGAGACGCCGAUGGAAACCAUGUGGCUAGAGUCCGGAAGAGGAGAGUGGAAUUCCUGGUGUAGCGGUGAAAUGCGCAGAUAUCAGGAAGAACACCCGUGGCUAAGGCGGCUCUCUAGUACGGUACUGACGCUGAGACGCGAAAGCGUGGGGAGCGAACAGG
rnacentral:rRNA from 1 species